GAGAGCACCUCCAUCUCAACCCUCUUGGCGCUAGCGAGCACGCACGCACGCACAUUCUCUUCACAUAUAUCUGAAAAUUUUCUCUCUAUCCAAACUAAUAAGAGACACUUUGAAUUUGAAAAAGCGUAAGAUAAAGCGAAAAUAAAAAUCGCGGAGCUGUGCAAUCAGAAUACCACCGCCGCGUCCUUCUCUCUCUCUCUCUCUCUCGGUUUUUUUCUUCUUGAUUUCAUAGGAAGAACUUCCUGGGAAACAAACAAAUCGCUGCCCGUAACAACUCUCCACAUGUAGUUAACUUAAAGCCUCUUCAAUCAACAGAACCGCUGUAGAUAAAGUUUGAGUCUAUCCAGUUGCCUCGUUUUCUGGACAAAAAAUAAAAAGAAAGCUUUUUUUUGGUUUUAAAGUUUAUAAAGAAUCCUCUUUCUCUUAUAAUUUUUUUGUCGUUUGGGUUUGGUCUGUAAGGUUUUGACGUAAAAUCUCGAAUUUUCUGGGAAAAGAAUGAUGAGAAGGCAGCAUCAAGACGAGCAAUCUAGGAUCUUCUACGAGCUCUCCGCUCUGGUCCUCAACAUCCUCCGAUCCCCACCGUCUCCGAUUCCGUUCUCCGAAAAUUCUCCGCCGGCGGCGAUGACAACAUCUUCUUCGUCAGCCUCCCGGCGGCCUUCUUCGGCGGUGCAGAUCUCGCCAGCGGGGUUCGCUUCGCUGCUGCUGGGGAUUUCUCUGGCCCUGAUGCUCUGCGGAUCGGUCACUUUCUUCAUUGGCUUCAUAUUGAUGCCAUGGGUUCUCGGGCUGGUCAUGGUAUUGUACGUGGCUGGAAUCGUCUCGACCGUCUCGAUGCUUGGCCGCUCCCUUCUCUGUUACGCCACGGCGCCGCCCACGCCGCGGAAGGACGUUCCUGACCUAUGGCUAUGAGGCACGUACAAUACCUGAGAGUGUUUCCUUGUACUAUGAUGCUGAUCGGGAACGUCAAGUUCUACAUUGGCAUGGAAAUUUUUGUGAAGAGAAAAGAUGGUUAUGAGAGAAGAUUGAAUUAUGUCGGGAAGGAUCUGGGCAGCGGCGAUGUUCCUGAGUAUAAUGCUCCUUCUAGCAACCAUAGGGACAAUUAGAACACUGAGCUUCUUAUUGAUGCAGGUAUUGUGGAUAAUUGUUGACUUAUCUAUUACUAGAUAUGUGGAUAGUAAUAGAUAUAGAGAAUUGUCAAAGAUUUUCAUGUACCACUGCCUACUGAAUUCCUAGUUGUAAGAAGGAAGUAGCAGGAGCUAUUCCCAGUUUCUUUCUUCAAUUAUAUUUCAUUUUACUACGGGUUAAUCUUCUUUCUUGGAUAAUGGAUAUAUAUACACAAUUGUAACUAUUCCGCAUCAUAAUGGUCACUCAUGUUUGCUUGUUUAUUUUCUGAAA